UACGUACUGUGCGAACGUUAUUCGGAAUCACUGGGCUUAAAGGGUGCGUAGGCGGCCGUUUAAGUAGGGUGUGAAAUGCCAGAGCUCAACUUUGGCAUUGCGCUCUAGACUGAAUGGCUUGAGUGAGAUAGGGGUGUGCGGAACUUCCAGUGGAGCGGUGAAAUGUGUUGAUAUUGGAAGGAACGCCGGUGGCGAAAGCGGCACACUGGGUCUUAACUGACGCUGAGGCACGAAAGCCAGGGGAGCGAACGGGAUUAGAAACCCUAGUAGU
rnacentral:rRNA from 1 species